AUUGAACGCUGGCGGCAGGCCUAACACAUGCAAGUCGAGCGGUAACAGAUCCAGCUUGCUGGAUGCUGACGAGCGGCGGACGGGUGAGUAAUGCAUAGGAAUCUGCCCGAUAGUGGGGGAUAACCUGGGGAAACCCAGGCUAAUACCGCAUACGUCCUACGGGAGAAAGGGGGCUCCGGCUCCCGCUAUGGGAUGAGCCUAUGUCGGAUUAGCUAGUUGGUGAGGUAACGGCUCACCAAGGCCACGAUCCGUAGCUGGUCUGAGAGGAUGAUCAGCCACAUCGGGACUGAGACACGGCCCGAACUCCUACGGGAGGCAGCAGUGGGGAAUAUUGGACAAUGGGGGAAACCCUGAUCCAGCCAUGCCGCGUGUGUGAAGAAGGCCCUCGGGUUGUAAAGCACUUUCAGCGAGGAAGAACGCCUAGCGGUUAAUACCCGCUAGGAAAGACAUCACUCGCAGAAGAAGCACCGGCUAACUCCGUGCCAGCCGCCGCCGUAACAC
rnacentral:rRNA from 1 species